CAGUAGCCGCGGGAAUACGGAGGGUGCAAGCGUUAUCCGGAUUUAUUGGGUUUAAAGAGUCCGUAGGCGGACUUAUAAGUCAGUGGUGAAAGCCUGUCGCUUAACGAUAGAACUGCCAUUGAUACUGUAAGUCUUGAGUAUAUUUGAGGUAGCUGGAAUAAGUAGUGUAGCGGUGAAAUGCAUAGAUAUUACUUAGAACACCAAUUGCGAAGGCAGGUUACCAAGAUAUAACUGACGCUGAGGGACGAAAGCGUGGGUAGCGAACAGGAUUAGAUACCCCAGUAGUCCCUGUCUCUUAUAC
rnacentral:rRNA from 1 species